rnacentral:rRNA from 1 species
UGAGGAAUACAUCGGAAUCUACUCUGUCGUGGGGGAUAACGUAGGGAAACUUACGCUAAUACCGCAUACNACCUACGGGUGAAAGCAGGGGAUCUUCGGACCUUGCGCGAUUGAAUGAGCCGAUGUCGGAUUANCUAGUUGGNGGGGUAAAGGCCCNCCAAGGCGACNAUCCGUAGCUGGNCUGAGAGGAUGAUCANCCNCACUGGAACUGAGACACGGUCCANACUCCUACGGGAGGCNGCAGUGGGGAAUAUUGGACAAUGGGCGCAAGCCUGAUCCANCCAUACCGCGUGGGUGAANAANGCCUUCGGGUUGUAAAGCCCUUUUGUUGGGAAAGAAAUCCANCNGGCUAAUACCNGGUUGGGAUGACGGUACCCAAAGAAUAAGCACCGGCUAACUUCNUGCCANCAGCCGCGGUAAUACNAAGGGNGCNAGCGUUACUCGNAAUUACUGGGCGUAAAGCGUGCGUAGGUGGNCGUUUAAGUCCGUUGUGAAAGCCCUGGGCUCAACCUGGGAACUGC